UCGACCGGUGGUACAACAUGGAGUUCCGCCGAGGGUGGACAAAGGAGAGCCCAGCUGCUGAGCGGCCUGACUCCAGUUCCAGAGUUUGAAUGUAUUUCUUUACAUGAAGAGGACCUAGGGAUGAAAAAGUGAAUUCAGUUUUCUUUGUAGAAGAGGAGGAAGACAAGAGCUACCAUCUGGAGAGCAGAACGUUUUGGGAAGCCAUCAAAGGCAAAGAACCUAAGAAUCCAGGAAGAUCUUGAACUAUUACCCUUUACUUUAAUUUUUAAUCAUGGAAAUAUUUGCUUGGAAAAGAGACUGUGUCUACAAUGGCAACCAUUUUUAUAUUCAGAAAUUUGCCAUGUAAAAUAAUUGAAUGUCAGAUGAAGAACUGCCUGUCAUAUUUUGCUAUUAAAAUAAUAUAUUUUUAUGCAUAACCUGACCUGCCUUUGUGAGUUACUGUAGCCUGUGGUCUCUCUGCAAGAUUUUCCAAUGGGAUUUUUAAUAAUAUUCCGAUGUUUGCCAUCUUAAGCAGUGCAAGCUGUUAAACUCAAUUUGUGAAAAAAAAAAAAUCAGGUAUAAAACCAGAUAAUCUGUAUCCCUUUGGAAUCAAAAGUCACUUUGCCAAAAUAUUUUAACACGCAAAAUUGCUUCUUGAGAGAUGUUUGUCAUGAUAAAAUGACAGAAAACUACAUUUCCAUUAUAAUUAUAACUGACUCGUGGUGCUAAGUUUUUAUAAUUUAAAGGUAUUCUCAACUCUGACAGCCCUUCCAUGUUGAAUUAUGCAUCUCAGGCUCUUAAAUAGUUCUGCUGGCACGAGACAGCUGAGAUGAAGUUGUCUUUCUAAAAUAAUUGCUCCAUGGAGCAUCCAUUAUACCUUCAGAAAAAAUGUAUUACUUGACUUCUACAAAUUAUAGACUAGCCUAUAAUGGGUAUUUUUGACAGCUAUUAGCUUUAAAAAAAUCUGAACAGUAAAAUGAGUAUUGAUAUCACAAUGGUGUACCGUGCAUGUUAAUACCAACCUUCUCUGUACUUUCCUCCUAAAGCAUGAUGUAAUCAUUAAUUAUAAUAAUAUUGAUAUAACUGCACUCAUGUUAAAAACAUAGUAUUGGCAA
rnacentral:lncRNA from 1 species